GCAGCUGCUGCUGCUUCAGUAUUCAUGCGAGCAGCUGAUGCUUGCUCCACUCGAUCCACGGGUUCGGCUGUACUGUGUAGCCAUUAGCUCGCAACAGUUACUUAGUUGUAUGUGUAACGAUUCACCAUCUCGAACUGAUUCGACUCAAAUUGGAAAUGGUGCGUAGAAUUUGCAAAUGUCAUUUGGAAAUGUGUUCUAACUUGUAAAUUGCCGCUCUUUCUCACUGGAGCAGCGGACAAUGCUACACGUACCAAAAGUACUCCCUCCGUUUUUUUGUUUGCAUAUAUAAAAUUUGGUCAAAGUCAAACUUUGUGACUAGCUUUGUAUGAAAAUAUAUCAACAUUCACACUAUGAAAUCAAUAUUAUAAAUGCAUGAUGAAAUUAAUUUUCAUAACAUAUAACUUUUGUUUUGUGGAUGUUGAUAUUGUUUCUAUAGUCAAACUUUACAAAGUUUGACUUUGACCCAAAUCUUACAUACGAACAAAAAAGAAACGGAGAAAGUAAUGCAAGAGUUCUACUUAAAAGCUGAUGUGAAGAAGAUUAAUUGGGUCAGGAUUAGCAGCUGAGGCCCACCCCCGUUGAAAUUCAUGGGGCCAAUAGGAUUUGUUUAGAAGGUUACGUAGGUCUUCGUGGUCUAUUCGUAGAUGUAGCAUUAUUGAUAGAGCGGCAGUGUUUUUCCUUUCACUUCUGCUUUGAUACACCCUUUCUAAAUAUAUCAAAACAUAUCAACGGUGGAGGUCCAUCCAUUAUUGAUUAGCAUUAUGCCACCAUUAAUCCCCUUCCCUUGUCACAUCUCGACCUCGGGCUAAUGCUUGGUGUGUCACACCCAUGCGAAGGAUGUGGCUCAGGCUCUAUUUAAAUGUGCCCAAGCAAAAUAAGUAUGACAAUUCCUUGAGCGGCAUUAAUGAAGAAAAUAUACCGUAGAGGCAAUAAUAAAGUUGUUAUUUAUAUUUCCUUAUAUCAUGAUAAAUAUUUAUUAUUCAUGCUAAAAUUGUAUUAAUUGAAAACUUAGAACAUGUGUGAAUACAUAGACAAAACAAAGUGUCCCUAGUAUGCCUCUACUUGUAACAUCCCAAAUUUCCAAUUUGGAAUGUUAUACAUAGGUCAUCAUAUGCAUAUCAUAUUUUAUUUGCAUUUUGGUUUUGUGAUCCUAAAAUCCUAAGCAACUCAAGGACCCACGGAGAGAGUUGGGGAUUUUUAUUAUUUUCAUAUUUGAACUUUCUCAAAUAUUGAAAAGUGGAUCAUUUUGGUUUUAUUUUUUCUCUCUCCAAAUAAUAUUUCAUAUCAAAAAUAUAUGAGAGGAGAUAAUAUGACUUCUUCAAAAUAAAUGAAAUAUUGGAGGAAAAAUAUUAAAAUCAAAUAAAAUAUUUUAUUUGGAUUUAUUGCUAUUUUAUUUAAAUUAGAAAAAUAUGCAUUUUCAAAAUUGCAUUUUUAGGCCAAGAAAAUGUUCAAUUUGUUCUAAAUUUUUUAUUUAGACUGUGAAAAUUUGUUUUGACAUUUUUAGAUUUUUAUUUUAUUUUUAUUUAGAACUUUUCUCGGUAGAACCGUAUUUAAAAAAAAGUUUCGGACAGAACUGGGNNNNNNNNNNNNNNNNNNNNNNNNNNNNNNNNNNNNNNNNNNNNNNNNNNNNNNNNNNNNNNNNNNNNNNNNNNNNNNNNNNNNNNNNNNNNNNNNNNNNNNNNNNNNNNNNNNNNNNNNNNNNNNNNNNNNNNNNNNNNNNNNNNNNNNNNNNNNNNNNNNNNNNNNNNNNNNNNNNNNNNNNNNNNNNNNNNNNNNNNNNNNNNNNNNNNNNNNNNNNNNNNNNNNNNNNNNNNNNNNNNNNNNNNNNNNNNNNNNNNNNNNNNNNNNNNNNNNNNNNNNNNNNNNNNNNNNNNNNNNNNCGCCCACUGCGCCCCUGUCGCCGCCAGCCGUUGCCGCCCCUCCGCCCCACACCACCCCGCGCCUCGCCGGAGCUCCGCUGGAAGCCGCCGCCAUCGGAUCCGCCGCCACCGCCGGAUUUGUCGGUUUUCGUCACGGUUUUUAUUCGGUUUAGGUAAAACCGCCAAUUUUUCUUUAAAACCCCAGAUGCAUUUUUUUACAGUUUUCGUUGGUUUAUUUAUUUAGCGGACGUUCGUCCAUUCGUUCGUUUGAACGAACGUUGUUCGCCGGUUAGGUUCAGACAGCGAACGUUCGUUCCUUAGUCUUUUAUUUUUAUUUUAUUUUCGGCCAGGGACCUAUCCACGAUUAAUUUUAUCGCAGAUUAACCCCUGAUCUUCAAACCCUCGCCGUUUCCUAACCGUUUGUCCAAAUCCAGUGAAACCAACGCCAAAAUAUUCGUCUCGAACCCCUCUUUCUGUUUAAUCAACUUGAACAGGGUUUUUGAAAAAUUAAAAUUUGGUUGCAAGCAGAUUUGCAUUCGAAGUUCUUUUGACCAUAGUUUCAGUUUCGUACCUCCGAUUUGAUCGAUUCUUUUUGCAAAUCGAACCUCUUCAGUUCAACUUUCAGUUUGGAUCUUCUUAUUUGAUGUUUUACCUUGCAUAUUUGCUUGAGUGCUUAUGUAUGCUAUUGUUUGUUUGCGAUAGAAUUCCCGGAGUGCGCAGCGUGCUACUACGAGUCACUAGGUUUUGCGGAUCAUCGGCAAGGCAAGUAACACAUUGAUCAUACCCCUUUAUUACCCAAUUUUUAUGCAUUAGUUACAACCCUCAAACAUUGCACGAGUAGGAUUUCUUAACAUGUGGGUUUUGGGAAGUUGUUGAUGAGGUAGAACCUAUUGCCCUUUUAUUAUCAAACCCUGGGAGUUACUUCUAUGUUAUGAUAUUUAUUGCCAUGCUAUGCUCGUAGACGUGGUUUGGGUUUGAGUGUAUCCAUGACAAAUGUGAGAUUAUCAAUUAAUGGUUUACUUAAGGUGGCUACUUCAACACACAUCUGGGUGGAUUGGUUGCGGGCACCUAGGGAUAUACCAGUGAUGUCCUUUUUGGUUCGCCACCCAGGCUCAAAGGGAUCAUAAGAUUAUUCAUGCUAGAAACUUCCGUGUGCAGCCACAAGCUAUUAUGGGCUCUAGCAUAGUGGAGUAAGUUGCAUGACCUCUUCCAAUGGUAGGCUAGCAGAUGUAGGGGGUGUAGGUUGGUACUGUCUAACCGGGUUAGAGUAAAUGCUUCUGAAAGACUGUGUAUCGGUCAUCCAUUUCUCAAACACCAUGUAGUGCGAGAAAUCCAACGGAGAAGAUCAAGUCUUGUGGGGAAAAGUGCGCAAACCUCUGCAGAGUGUACAAACUAAUCAUGGUUAGCCGUGCCCCGGUUAUGUACAUCUUGAGUAUCUGGUUCUUGGAUUAUCUUGUGGAUCUCGUCACCCUAAAUUAAUUUGUUAGGAUGUUAAUUACUUUUAAUUGGGAUUGAGAUGGGGUUUUACCAUUCUCAAUGUUUUUUCAACUACCAUGAUAGUUAAAUAAAAUAUAUUCCUUUUUUAUAGGAAAAGUUGGCUUUUCGCAAAAAACAUUAUAACCAUAGAGCCUCCACCAGCCAUAUAUGCAUGUAGUGAUAGCUAUUACUUGUUUCAUUGCUCUACUGUGUUAUCUUGCUAGCAUAUCCCAUGUGCUGACCCGUUUUCGGGCUGCAACAUAUCAUGUUGUAGACUUUUCAGACGAUGAGUAAGGUGCGCUAGGUCGUUGUCGUGCACUCACCUAUGCGUUGGAGUUGAUGGACUCACUUUAUCUUCCAAGCCUUCCGUUGUUAUCUUACUUAGAUGGCCUUAAGCCAUACUUAUUGUAAUAAGUUCUCUUUUGAGACAUUCGAUGUAAUAGGUGUGUGAUUGCCACUCUGUUAUAAAUCCUUCAAGUACUGUGUGUGUCAGCAUUACCGAUCUAGGGAUGACACUUAUGCAUAUAGAUUUGGCUGUUUGAGGUCGGAUCGCUACAAGAUGGUAUCAAAGCACACGCUGAAUGUAGGACACGACAACUAAGAUGAGCCACAGGUCACUCUUCUCUACUCAUUUCUGACUUCUCUCCAUCUUCUACUCUAUAGGAUGGCGGACACAAGGAACAAGUUUACACAGCCAGAUGAAGACACACCUUUUGGACGACACUUGAAGGAAGUCACUAGGUACCUGAACAUUGGAAUACCAAGCUUCACCGGGACCUACACCGUCACUUUACCAGAAGAAGAGCGUUGGAUGAUUCGAGUUCAAGUUCCAGGAAGGACGUUCACGCCAGUAACUGAGCCCAUAGAGUUUUCCUUCGAUGCACCAACCUGGAGUCUAGGAAAGAGCAUGGCAGCUCACAUCGUCAUAGGACGCAUCGACGAAGUUUAUCACAAGGAUCUUAAGGACACUAUUUACUAGAUAUGUGGGUGCCGAGAUGAGCAAUGGGAGAUGAUCAGCACCAGGAAGGACAGGUCCAUUGCAGCCUUCAUUCAGGAGUUAAACCAGCACAUUCGACGCCAUGAGAACCAAAUGUGCGCAAGCAUGAUAGAUCUGAAGAAGUUGAUGACUAGGAACAUGGAGCUGGAAGAGGAACUCAAGUCUACACGCGACGAAUACGAGGAGGAAAUCACCGUAUUGGUAGAGAUGAACGGCGUCCUGACAAGGAAGCUAGGAGUAUUCAUGGGAGACCCUGCGCCAGGAAGAGAUGACGACCAUCCCAAGGACUACAUCAUCAUCGACGACACUGACUCCGACCCUAGUGAUGAUGAUUAUGAAGACGAAGCCGGAGCAGAUAUCAUGGAGUCUUCUACCGAUCAAAAUUUCUAGUAGACCACCAUACUAUUAGUAGUAUUUCCCCCAUGUAUAUAUUAGUAGUCCGACCACUGUAAUGAUAGUUAGAUCGAUUGUAUGCCCUUACUUGAAAUUGUUUUGGUGUGAUAUGUUUGUGUUUGUCUCAUGUGCAUAUGGGUAGUGUUUUCGCACUAGACCUCAUUCUAUUCUAAUCUCUCCCCUCUAAACCAUCAGAUGCCUCCAAGACGUGACCCUAGAUUUGCUUUCCCACCGGAGCUCACUCAGUUGAUUCAACAGCAGAAUACACUGAUGCAAUUGCUAGUCCAGAACCAAGGCAACAACAACAACAAUAACAACAACCCACCGCCACCCCCUCCAGUUGACAACUUAGCCCAUUUUCUGAGGUUACAACCGCCGGUGUUUUCUAGUAGCACCGAGCCCAUAGUUGCUGAUGACUGGCUACACAGGAUUGGAAGGGAGUUAACCACUGUAGGUUGCACAGAUGCUGAGAAGGUGCGUUUUGCCGCACACAAUUGGAUGGACCUGCAGCCUCAUGGUGGGAGAAUUACACAGCCACCUUCCCUAUAGCCAAUGUUACUUGGGAGCAGUUUCAGCAAGCGUUCCACACUACUCAUGUCUCAACUGGAGCUAUGAGUAUGAAUAAGCGUGAGUUUCGCAACUUACGACAGGGCAAUCGUACUGUGGGGCAGUACGUGGAUGAGUUUAGUAAGUUAGCCCGCUACGCCCCAGAUGAUGUGGCCACAGAUGCCGUGAAGCAAGAGAAGUUUAUGGAAGGGCUGAAUGAUGAGAUGAGUAUACAGUUAAUGGUGGCGACAUUUAACAACUACCAGGAGUUGGUAGAUAAGGCUCUUAUGAUUGAAGGGAAGCAGCAGCAGAUUGAGAGCCGCAAAAGGAAGAAUGGACAAGGGAAGUACAAUUCAGGAGCUCAACAGAAACCUCGGUUCACCCCGAACUCUGGAGGAUAUACCCAUAACCAUGGAGGCCAUAACCAAAAUGGAGGAAGCUCGCAUAACCACAAUGGCUCUAGGAAUGGAAAUGGGAGUGGAGCAAGCAGUCAGAACCGCUCUAACCCAAGCACACCCGCCAAGAAGGACCAAAGUCAUGUUACUUGUUUCAAGUGCGGGAAGACUGGACACUAUGCCAAUGAGUGUCCUGAACUCAAGAAUGGUAAUGGCAAUGGAAGCUCUGGGAAGAAGCCCAACCCUUUUAAUAAGGGCCGAGUGAACCACGUGAACGUGGAGGAGGUUGAAGAGCAGCCAGACACAAUUAUCGAUAAGUUUUUGGUUAAGUCAUUUACCGCUCUUGUUCUUCUCGAUACUGGUGCAUCACAUUCAUACAUUUCAAGGGGAUUUGUGGACAAGUUUAAGUUACCCACCUUAGACCUUAGGACACCCUUGUUAGUAAGCUCACCAGGAGCAGAGUAUAUGGCCAGCCAAUGGUGCGACCGGAUACCCUUAAACAUUGGCAGCCAUAUUUUCCCCUCAGACCUAAUAAUUCUGGAGUCACAAGGAUUGGAUGUGAUAUUGGGUAUGGAUUGGCUAUAGAAGUAUGGGGGAAACAUUGACUGUGCUAGUAGGUCAAUUCUACUCAACACCCCGGAGGGAAAAAUGAUUAAGUAUGUAUCCAGGCAUACCCCAAAGAGGACUCACCUAAACUCCUUAACAGGCGUUGUUCAGGAGGAAGUGCCUGUAGUGAAGGAUUACCCGGAUGUAUUUCUAGAGGAACUACUAGGCAUGCCGCUGGAUCGAGACAUUGAGUUUUUGAUAGAGCCGUUGCCAGGCACCGGACCAGUAUCGAAGAGACCAUACCGGAUGUCCGCGAAUGAUCUGGAGGAGAUUAAGAAACAUAUUAAGGAGUUAUUGGAGAAAGGUUACAUUCGACGAAGCUCGUCACCAUGGGGAGCCCCAGUGCUCUUGGUUGAGAAGAAGGAUAAAUCUCUGAGAAUGGUGGUUGAUUAUCGUGCAUUGAAUGAAGUGAUGAUCAAGAACAAGUACCCACUGCCGAUGAUCAAUGAUUUGUUUGACCAGCUGCAAGGAGCUAAAGUAUUUUCCAAGAUCGAUCUUCGAUCAGGAUACCACCAAUUGAAGAUCCGAGAACAGGAUAUACCCAAGACAUCCUUCACCACAAGGUACGGGCUAUAUGAGUACACGGUUAUGUCAUUUGGACUGACAAAUGCCCCUACCUAUUUCAUGAGUAUGAUGAAUAAGGUGUUCAUGGAGUUCUUGGAUAAAUUUGUCGUGGUGUUCAUUGAUGACAUUUUGGUGUACUCGAAGAAUGAAGAGGAACACAAGGAGCAUUUGCGUUUAGUUCUUGAGAAGCUCAGGGAACAUCAGUUAUACGCCAAAUUUAGCAAAUGUGAGUUUUGGAUGAAGGAAGUUGGAUUCCUUGGACAUGUUAUAUCAGGAGAAGGUAUAGCAGUAGACCUUACUAAGGUUCAGUCAGUCACUGAGUGGUUGGCACCCACCUCAGUUGGAGAGACCCGCAGUUUUCUUGGACUCGUGGGGUACUAUCAGAGAUUCAUCGAGAAUUUCUCUAAGAUAGCGAAGCCCAUGGCAGAGUUGUUGAAGGAAGACACCAAGUUCAAGUGGACAGAUGAAUGUGAGGCAAGUUUCCAAGAAUUGAAGAAACGUCUGGUUACUGCCCCAGUGCUGAUUCUGCCGGAUAUACGCAAGGAUUUCCAGGUGUAUUCGAUGCAUCUCGCUUAGGACUUGGCGGCAUGCUUAUGCAAGACAGAAGAGUUGUUUCAUAUGACUCACGUCAACUUUGACCGCAUGAGUUAAAUUAUGCCACACAUGAUUUGGAGCUAGCAGCUGUAGUGCAUGCACUCAAGACCUGGAGACAUUUUCUUAUUGGAAAUCAUUGUGAUGUGUACACGAAUCAUAAGAGUUUGAAGUACAUUUUCACACAGAAGGAGUGGAAUCUCAGGCAGAGGAGAUGGUUGGAGCUUAUAAAGGAUUAUGAUAUGAAGUUGCACUAUCAUCCAGGCAAGGCCAAUGUCGUAGCAGAUGCUUUGAGCCGAAAGAGUUACGCCAAUACCCUCGUAAGCGGAGGAUUACCAGCAGAGUUAGCUGAAGAUCUCAGGGAGCUACGUUUGGAGAUAGUCCCUAGAGGUUUUGUUGCAGCAUUGGAAAUUCAGUCGACAUUAUUGGGAAAAAUUCGAGAAGCUCAGAAGGAUGAUAAGGGAAUUCAGAGAUAAAGGAGAAAAUGAGCAAAGGUAAAGCCAAGGGUUUCCGUGAGGAUGAGCAUGACACCUGGUGGUUUGAGGACCGUGUUUAUGUACCCAAUAAUGCAGAGAUCAGGAAGUUAAUACUUUAGGAGGCUCAUGACUCGCCAUACUCAAUACACCCUGGAAACACCAAGAUGUAUUUGGAUUUGAAGGAGCAUUUCUGGUGGACUGGUAUGAAGAAGGAUAUUGCCGAUUAUGUAGCCGUAUGUGAUGUAUGUCAGAGAGUGAAGGUAGAACAUCAGAAACCAACAGGAUUACGACAACCUAUGCCGAUACCUGAAUGGAAGUGGGACAAUCUUGGCAUGGAUUUCAUCACUGGAUUACCCAGGACCCGACCGGGAUACAAUUCUAUUUGGGUAGUAGUGGAUCGUUUGACCAAAGUGGCUCACUUUAUCCCAGUGAAAACCACCUAUACGAGUGCGAAGUUGGCCAAGAUAUAUAUGACCAGGAUCGUAUGUCUGCAUGGAGUUCCGAGGACCAUCGUAUCAGAUAGAGGAACACAAUUUAGGUCAAAUUUUUGGCACCAACUGCACCAGACUUUGGGUACCAGGCUAGAGUUCAGUACAACCUUUCAUCCACAGACAGAUGGACAGACUGAGAGAGUCAAUCAGAUUCUGGAGGACAUGUUGAGAGCUUGUGCGCUCGAUUAUGGAUCUAGUUGGGAUGAUAACCUGCCUUACGCAGAGUUCUCAUACAACAACAGUUAUCAAGCUAGUCUGAAGAUGGCACCUUUCGAAGCUUUGUAUGGAAGAAGAUGCAGAACGCCGUUGUUGUGGGAUGAAGUUGGAGACCGCCAGUUGUUUGGACCAGAUUUGAUCAAAGAGUUAGAAGAGAAGGUUAAGUUGAUUCGAGACAGACUGAAGGUAGCUCAAUCCAGGCAGAAGAGUUAUGCAGACUCAGGUAGUCUAUGAAAUCGAAGAUAGAGCAUAUCUUUGUGUGUCACCAUUGCGAGGAGUUAAACGUUUUGGAGUUAAGGGAAAGUUAGCCCCAAGAUUUGUAGGACCAUACCGAGUUUCGGAACAUAUGGGAGAAGUAGCCUACAAGUUGGAGUUAUCCGAAGGACUGUCAGGAGUUCAUGAUGUGUUUCAUGUUUCCCAGUUGAAGAAGUGUCAUGCUGAGAUGGCUGAUAUUCCUCUGAGAGAUACAGUGCCCCUAGAAGCAAUUCAGUUGGAUAAUGAUCUGACCUAUGAGGAGAAACCAGUCAAGAUUCUCGAGUUUGCGAGCCAAGUCACACGCAGCAAGGUUAUCAAGUUUUGCAAAGUUCAGUGGAGCCACCAUACCGAGGAUGAAGCCACCUGGGAACGAGAGGAUGAUCUACGGAAAGACCACCCAAACCUAUUUUCUAGCCAACCCGAAUCUCGAGGGCGAGAUUCACCUUAAGGGGGGUAGGUUUGUAACAUCCCAAAUUUCCAAUUUGGAAUGUUAUAUAUAGGUCAUCAUAUGCAUAUCAUAUUUUAUUUGCAUUUUGGUUUUGCGAUCCUAAAAUCCUAAGCAACUCAAGGACCCACGGAGAGAGUUGGGGAUUUUUAUUAUUUUCAUAUUUGAAUUUUCCCAAAUAUUGAAAAGUGGAUCAUUUUGGUUUUAUUAUUUUUCUCUCCAAAUAAUAUUUCAUAUCAAAAAUAUAUGAGAAGAGAUAAUAUGACUUCUUCAAAAUAAAUGAAAUAUUGGAAGAAAAAAGUUUAAAUCAAAUAAACUAUUUUAUUUGGAUUUUAUUGCUAUUUUAUUUGAAUUAGAAAAAUAUACAUUUUUCAAAAUUGCAUUUUUAGGCCAAAAUGUUCACUUUGUUCUAAAUAUUUUAUUUAGACGAUGAAAAUUUGUUUUGGCAUUUUUAGAUUUUUAUUUUAUUUUUAUUUAGGAGUUUCUCGACGGAACCGUAUUUAAAAAAAGUUUCGGACCAAACUGGGCCGAAGGCCCAGCCGGCCCACCGAGAGCCGUCGCCUCCUCGAGUCGGGCGCGACAUNNNNNNNNNNNNNNNNNNNNNNNNNNNNNNNNNNNNNNNNNNNNNNNNNNNNNNNNNNNNNNNNNNNNNNNNNNNNNNNNNNNNNNNNNNNNNNNNNNNNNNNNNNNNNNNNNNNNNNNNNNNNNNNNNNNNNNNNNNNNNNNNNNNNNNNNNNNNNNNNNNNNNNNNNNNNNNNNNNNNNNNNNNNNNNNNNNNNNNNNNNNNNNNNNNNNNNNNNNNNNNNNNNNNNNNNNNNNNNNNNNNNNNNNNNNNNNNNNNNNNNNNNNNNNNNNNNNNNNNNNNNNNNNNNNNNNNNNNNNNNNNNNNNNNNNNNNNNNNNNNNNNNNNNNNNNNNNNNNNNNNNNNNNNNNNNNNNNNNNNNNNNNNNNNNNNNNNNNNNNNNNNNNNGCUCCGCCGGAAGCCGCCGCCGGAUUUGUCGGUUUUCGUCAAGGUUUUUUUCGGUUUAGGUAAAACCACUGGUUUUUCUUUAAAACCCUAGAUGCGUUUUUUUGGGUUUUCGUCGGUUUAUUUAUUUAGUAGACGUUCGUUCGUCCGUUCAUCUUAACGAAUGUUGUUUACCGGUUAGGUUCAGACAGCGAACGUUCGGUCGUUCGUUAGUCUUUUCUUUUUAUUUUAUUCUCGGCUAGGGACCUAUCCGCGAUUAUUUUUAUCGCAGAUUAGCCCCUGAUCUUCAAACCCUCGCCGAUUCCUAACCGUUUGUCCAAAUCCAGUGAAACCAACGCCAAAAUAUUCGUCUUGAACCCCUCUUUCUGUUUAAUCAACUUGAACAGGGUUUUUAAAAAAAUUAAAAUUUGGUUGGAAGCAGAUUUGCAUUCGAAGUUCUUUUGACCAUAGUUUCAGUUUCGUACCUCCGAUUUGAUCGAUUCUUUUUGCAAAUCGAACCUCUUCAGUUGAACUUUCAGUUUGGAUCUUCUUAUUUGAUGUUUUACCUUGCAUAUUUUCUUGAGUGCUUAUGUAUGCUAUUGUUUGUUUGCGAUAGAAUUCCUGGAGUGCGCAGCAUGCUACUACGAGUCACUAAGUUUUGCGGAUCAUCAGCAAGGCAAGUAACACAUUGAUCAUACCCCUUUAUUACCCAGUUUUUAUGCAUUAGUUACAACCCUCAAACAUUGCGCGAGUAGGAUCUCUUAACAUGUGGGUUUUGGGAUGUUGUUGAUGAGGUAGAACCUAUUGCCCUUUUAUUAUCAAACCCUGGGAGUUACUUCUACGUUAUGAUAUUUAUUGCCAUGCUAUGCUCGUAGACGUGGUUUGGGUUUGAGUGUAUCCAUGACAGAUGUGAGAUUAUCAAUUAAUGGUUUACUUAAGGUGGCUACUUCAACACACAUCUGGGUGGAUUGGUUGCGGGCACCUGGGGAUAUACCAGUGAUGUCCUUUUUGGUUCGCCACCCAGGCUCAAAGGGAUCAUAAGAUUAUUCAUGCUAGAAACUUCCGUGUGCAGCCACAAGCUAUUAUGGGCUCUAGCAUAGUGGAGUAAGUUGCAUGACCUCUUCCAGUGGUAGGCUAGCAGAUGUAGGGGGUGUAGGUUGGUACUGUCUAACCGGGGUUAGAGUAAAUGCUUCUGAAAGACUGUGUCUCAAUCAUCCGUUUCUCAAACACCAUGUAGUGCGAGAAAUCCAACGAAGGAGAUCGAGUCUUGUGGGGAAAAGUGCGCAAACCUCUGCAGAGUGUACAAACUAAUCAUGGUAAGCCGUGUCCCUGGUUAUGAACAUCUUGAGUAUCUGGUUCUUGGAUUAUCUUGUGGAUCUCAUCACCCUAAAUUAAUUUGUUGGGAUGUUAAUUACUUUUAAUUGGGAUUGAGAUGGGGUUUUAACAUUCUCAAUGUUUUUUUUAACUACCAUGAUAGUUAAAUAAAAUAUAUUCCUUUAUUGUAGGGAAAAUUGGCUUUUCGCAAAAAACAUUAUAACCAUAGAGUCUCCACCAACCAUAUAUGCAUGUAGUGAUAGCUAUUACUUGUUUCAUUGCUCUACUGUGUUAUCUUGCUAGCAUAUUCCAUGUGUUGACCCAUUUUCGGGCUGCAACAUAUCAUGUUGCAGACUUUUCAGACGAUGAGUAAGGUGCGCUAGGUCGUUGUCGUGCACUCAGCUAUGCCGUUGGAGUUGAUGGACUCACUUUAUCUUCCAAGCCUUCCGCUGUUAUCUUACUUAGAUGGCCUUAAGCCAUAUUUAUUGUAAUAAGUUCUCUUUUGAGACGUUCGAUGUAAUAGAUGUGUGAUUGCCACUCUGUAUCCUUCAAGUAUUGUGUGUGUCAGCAUUACCGAUCCAGGAAUGACACUUAUGCACAGAGAUUUGGCCGUUUGAGGUGGAAUCGCUACACUACUUGACUAGUUCGUUACUCAAAGAUGGUUAAGUUUCCUGACCAUAGGCAUGUGUUGUAGUUUGAUGAACAGGAUCACAUCAUUAGGAGAAUGAUGUGAUGGACAAGAUCCAUCCAUUAGCUUAGCAUAAUGAUCUUUAAGUUUUAUUUCUAUUGCUUUGUUCAUGACUUAUAUAUAUUCCCCUGACUAUGAGAUUAUGCAACUCCCGAAUACCGGAGGAACACCAUGUGUGCUAUCAAACGUCACAACGUAACUGGGUGAUUAUAAAGAUGCUCUACAGGUGUCCCCGAAGGUGUUUGUUGGGUUGGCAUAGAUCAAGAUUAGGAUUUGUCACUCUGAGUAUCGGAGAGGUAUCUGUGGGCCCUCUCGGUAAUGCACAUCACUAUAAGCCUUGCAAGCAAUGUGACUAAUGAGUUAGUUGCGGGAUGAUGCAUUACGGAACGAGUAAAGAGACUUGAUAGUAACGAGAUUGAACUAGGUAUGAUGAUACCGACGAUCGAAUCUCGGGCAAGUAACAUACCGAUGACGAAGGGAAUAACGUAUGUUGUUAUUGCGGUUUGACCGAUAAAGAUCUUCGUAGAAUAUGUAGGAACCAAUAUGAGCAUCCAGGUUCCGCCUAUUGGUUAUCGACCGGAGAUGUGUCUCGAUCAUGUCUGCAUAGUUCUUGAACCCGUAGGGUCUGCACGCUUAAUGUUCGAUGAUGAUUUGUAUUAUGAGUUAUGUGUUUUGGUGACCAAAGUUUGUUCGGAGUCCCAGAUGAGAUCACGGACAUGACGAGGAGUCUCGAAAUGGUCGAUAGGUAAAGAUUGAUAUAUUGGACGAUGAUAUUCGGACACCGUAAUGGUUUCAGAAAGGUUCGGGUAUAUUUUGAAGUACCAGCGGGUUAUCGGAACCCCCCGGGGAUUUAUUGGGCCUACAUGGGCCUUAGUGGAGAGAGAGGGGUGCCCGCAAGGGUACCCCCAUGGGAGACUGAAUUGGACCAGGGGAAGGGGCGGCGCCUCCUUUCCCUCUCCCUCUCCCUCUCCUUCCUUUCCCCCUCCGAUGAGAAAGGAAAAAGGGAGGGGGCGGAUCCUACUAGGAGUGGAGUCAUAGUAAGACUCCCCCCAUGGCGCGCCCCUUGGUGGCCGGCGUCCUCCUCCCCUCCUUUAUAUACGGGGGCAGGGGGCACCCCAUAGCAUAUCAAUUGUUCUCUUAGCCGUGUGCGGUGCCCCCCCUCCACAUUUUACUCCUCCGGACAUAGCGUCGUAGUGCUUAGGCGAAGCCCUGCGCGGAUCACAUCACCACACCGUCGUGAUGAAGAAACUCUCCCUCGACCCUCUGCUGGAUCAUGAAUUCAGGGACGUCAUCGAGCUGAACGUGUGCUGAACUCGGAGGUGCCGUACGUUUGGUGCUUGAUCGGUUGGAUCGCAAAGACGUUCGACUACAUCAACCGCGUUAAUCUAACGCUUCCGCUUUCGGUCUACGAGGGUACGUAGCCACACUCUCCCCCUCUCGUUUCUAUGCAUUUCCUAGAUAGAUCUUGCGUCAUAGUAGGAUUUUUUUAAAAUUGCAUGCUGCGUUCCCCAACAAUGGUAUCAAAGCCAGGUCUAUGCGUAGAUGAUAUGCACAGGUAGAAAACAAAGAGUUGUGGGCGAUAAUAGUCAUACUGCUUACCACCAACGUCUUAUUUUGAUUCGGCGGUAUUUUUGGAUGAAGCGGCCCGGACCAACCUUACAUGACCAUGUUCAUGAGACCGGUUCCACUGACAGACAUGCAACUUGUUUUGCAUAAAGGUGGCUGGCGGGUGUCUAUUUCUCCAACUUUAGUUGAAUCGAGUUUGACUACGGCCGGUCCUUGUUGAAGGUUAAAACAUCACACUUGAUGAAAAAUCGUUGUGGUUUUGAUGCGUAGGUAAGAACGGUUCUUGCUAGAAGCCCAUAGCAGCCACAAAGUAGAGGACGUCUAACUUGUUUCUGCAAGGCAUGUUGUGAUGUGAUAUGGUCAAGACAUGAUGUGACAUAAGUUAUUGUAUGAGAUGAUCAUGUUUUGUAAAAGAUAUCGACAACUGGUAGGAACCUUAUGGUUGUCGCUUUAUUGUAUGAAAUGCAAUCGCCAUGUAAUUGCUUUACUUUAUCACUAUGCGGUAGCGAUAAUUGUAGAAGCAAUAGUUGGCGAGACGACAACGAUGCUACGAUGGAGAUCAAGGUGUCAAGCCGGUGACGAUGGAGAUCAUAACGAUGCUUUGGAGAUGGAGAUCAAAUGCACAAGAUGAUGAUGGCCAUAUCAUGUCACAUAUUUUGACUGCAUGUGAUGUUUAUCUUUUAUGCAUGUUAUUUCGCUUAGUACGGCGGUAGCAUUAUAAGAUGUUCCCUCACUAAAUUUCAAGGUAUAAGUGUUUUCCCUGAGUAUGCCCCGUUGCGACAAUUCGUCGUGCCAAGACACCACGUGAUGGUCGGGCGUGAUAAGCUCUACGUUCCAUACAACGGGUGCAAGCCAUUUUUGCACGUAUAGAAUACUCGGGUUAAACUUGACGAGCCUAGCAUAUGCAGACAUGGCCUCGGAACACUAAGACCGAAAGGUCAAACAUGAAUCAUAUAUUAGAUAUAAUCAACAUAGAGAUGUUCACCAUUGAAAACUAUUCCAUCUCACGUGAUGAUCGGACAUGGUUUAGUUGAUAUGGAUCACGUGAUCAUUUAGAUGACUAGAGGGAUGUCUAUCUAAGUGGGAGUUCUUAAGUAAUAUGAUUAAUUGAGCUUUAAUUUAUCAUGAACUUAGUCUUGAUAGUUUUUGCAUAU
rnacentral:lncRNA from 1 species